rnacentral:rRNA from 1 species
GUGGCUAGGAAGUGCGCGAGCCUUUCAUUCAUACACCUGUGCACCGUGGUCUCCGGACCUACAAACUUGAAGUCAUGAACGUAAUCAUUAUAAACAAUAAAACUUUCAACAACGGAUCUCUUGGCUCUCGCAUCGAUGAAGAACGCAGCGAAAUGCGAUAAGUAAUGUGAAUUGCAGAAUUCAGUGAAUCAUCGAAUCUUUGAACGCAUCUUGCGCCCUUUGGUAUUCCGAAGGGCAUGCCUGUUUGAGUGUCAUGAAAACAUCAUCCCAUCGGGUUUCCGAUGGCAUGGACUUGGGUGUUGCCGUCCGGCUCGCCUCAAAAGCCUCAGUGGUUCGAUCGAAUCUGGCGUAAUAAGUUUCGCUGGCCUAGUGACGUCUGCUUUACCCGUCUUCUGACAUUUUUGCUCUGACCUCAAAUCAGGUAGGACUACCCGCUGAACUUAAGCAUAUCAAA